GAUGAAGAACGUAGCGAAAUGCGAUAAGUAAUGUGAAUUGCAGAAUUCAGUGAAUCAUCGAAUCUUUGAACGCACAUUGCGCCCGCCAGUAUUCUGGCGGGCAUGCCUGUUCGAGCGUCAUUACAACCCUCAGGCCCCCGGGCCUGGUGUUGGGGAUCGGCGGAGCCCCCCGUGGGCACACGCCGUCCCCCAAAUGCAGUGGCGGUCCCGCCGCAGCUUCCAUCGCGUAGUAGCUAACACCUCGCGACUGGAGAGCGGCGCGGCCACGCCGUAAAACACCCAACUCUUCUGAAGUUGACCUCGAAUCAGGUAGGAAUACCCGCUGAACUUAAGCAUAUCAAUAAGCGGAGGA
rnacentral:misc_RNA from 1 species